GGUGGCGUGGCCUAAUGGUAAGGCGUUGCUUUCCGGUCAUCGGAACCUGGCAAAGACUGUGGGUUCGAGUCCCAUCGCCAUCG